rnacentral:lncRNA from 1 species
UCUUCUAGUGGGCAGAGCUUUUUUUUUUUUCUUUUUGCCAAAAUGAUCUGUAGAACUCAUAAUGUUUGUAUUUUAUAUCGUAAAACAUAUAACAUAGGUGAUAUGAAUAAGAUUGAAAUGAGACUUGAUAUCCUUUUAAAGUUUAAAAUUUCUCCUAACUUCUAUACUUCUAGAAGAUCUGAAAUCUGACAGAAGGUAGAUUAAAUCUCAUGAAUAAACAAAGCCAUUAGUUAAGUACCAGUAACUAUGCCCAGCAUGUUAUGGUGCUUAACCAUGUGCCAGGCAGUGCAUUAAGCACGUUAUGUACAUUGACCUGUCUAUUCCUUAUUACUUUCCUAUGAGGUGAGAACUCUUACUGUUCAGUCCAUAAGGAAACUGAGGCUUAGAGGUUGAUUGUUUGAUUAUAUAUCAAGUAAAGAACAAAGCUAGAAAUUGAACCCAGAGUCUGAAUCCUGAGACCCACUCUUUCUGUUAAAUUUUUUUUUUCUUUUUUGCUUUUUAGGGCCACACUUGUGGCACAUGGAAGUUCCUGAGCUAGGGGUUGAAUCAGAGCUUCAGCUACCAGCCUACACCACAGCCAUAGUAACGCAGGAUCCAAGCCAUGUCUAAGACCUACAGCUUGUGGCAAGGCCAGAUCCUUAACCCACUGAGCGAGGCCAGGGAUUGAAACCACAUUCUCAUGGAUACUAGUUGGGUUCACAACCUGCUGAGCCAGAAUGGGAACUCCUCUUUUAAUUAAUUUUGUAAUUUAAAUUUUCAAACAUAUACAAUAGUGAAGAGCAGAAUAAUAACCCUCUGUUAUUUAGUUUUUAGCAAUUAACAUUGGCUAAUCCUGAUUCAUUUAAUUCUCACCUCCCAAAUCUCCAGGGAACUAUUUUAAAAUUAAUUCUACAUGUUGGAUAUUUCAGAUUAUAUCUAAGAGAUAAAAUUCUAUUUUAUAUUUAUGUAAAACCACACACCUUAGAAAUCUUAUUAAUAAUUCUCUAAUAUCAUCUGGUGUAGACUGGCUGUUUGUGUCCUCCCAGAAUUCUUAUGUUGAAAUCUAACCCUCAGUGUGAUAAGAUUAGGAGAUAAGGCCUUUCAGAGGAGAUUUGGUUAUGUGGGUUGACUCCUUGUGAAUAGGAUUAAUGCCGUUAUCAAAGAGACCCCUUGCCCAUUCCAUCCUGUGAGGAGGCAGGGAAAAGAGAGCCAUUCAUCUAUGAACCAGUUAAGCGGAAACUCACCAGACACCAAGUCUGCCAGCGCCUUGAACUUGGACUUCCCAGCCUCCAAAAAUGCGAAAAAUGAAUUUCUGUUGUUUAUAAUUCACACAGUCUAUGGCAUGUUUGUUGUAGCAGCCUACACAGACUAAGACAUCAUCUGAUAUCCAGCCAGUGUUCAAAUUUACCCAAGUAUCACAUAUAUUUUUUAAAAAUAUUUAUUUAUUUGAAAUCAGGUUCUGAUUCAGUUAAUUUAUUACAUUUUGGCUGUUAUGUCUCUUAAAUGUUUUUAAUUCUAUCCAGGUCAUCCUCCCUCUUUUUUUUUUUUUUAAUUUAUUUGUUGGAAAACAACUUCUUAUUUCUCCAGUGUCAUUUUGUAAAUUUGGGAUUUCAUUUUCAUCAUGUCCUUUAACAUUUUCCUCUUACUUUUACAUUUUCAGAAAGCUGUAGUUGAAUAUGAGGUUUGAUCAGAUUGAUGAUCUUUCUUUUGAUAAAAAAUACUUCAUAGAUAGUUCUGCAUAUACUCCCUAUUGAAUUUCAUUAGAAGACACAUAACUGUUUCUUUGGGAUGUUAAGGUUGAUCAGUAUUUUUAAUUUAGGUAUUGUCGACUUGAUCCAGUCAUUAUAAAGUUCCCCAUGAACCUUUCAUUUUAUCUCUUAGCAGCUAUUGAUGAUUGUUUCCUAGAGCCAUUAUUUCUCUUAGGGGUUGAAAAAUGGAAUUUUUUUUAUUUUUUAUUUUGUAUUUAUUAGCAAGAAUUAUUUGUAAAGAAAACCUGUCAUCCAGUUAAAAGCAGUAGAAUGCUUGAUUCUUUUCCUUUUUAUAAGUUUCCAGAUAAUGAGUUAUGUUCUAGCAUCACUCCAAAGGUGAUCAUGAAGUCCUCUCUAAUUCUGAGUAUUAGUAUGCAUUCAUGGAUUUAAAAAAAUUAUUCUUGAUGUGUUUUCAUACAUUAGUCAUUUGUCAUUACUGUUGGCCACUGAGCCCCUUCGAAUUGUCUCCUGUGUUCUUCUGAUCUAACUCCAGUAUUCUUUCAUACCUUCUUUGCUUUCUGGUAUCACAAGAGGUCUUAGAACCAACUUAAAUAUGUCCAGCCUUACUCUAGACAGAUUAUUUUUGUAUACCUGUAUAGUUGUUUCAUAAAAUAUAUUUACUAACACAUUUAUUCUGACACAUUCACUUUUCUGACUUUAUUUAGGGGAGAUUUUCUUGCAAUGAAGAUUUAGGUUCCUAAAUCUAAAUCUAAAUUCACUUGUGGAAUCAAGCCUGCACUCUUGCGCCAAAAAGGGCCUAGACCACAUUCUAGGAAGAUCCAGUUCUCUCUGAGAUGAGAGUGUAAAUAAUGAUAGAGUCAAGGUCUGUGCCAGGAGUGAGUUUCUGGGAGUUGUGGCACCCAUACUCCUCUCUGCAUGCUCCCAGGAGCUGUGACUCACCCAGUACAGUUAAAUUUGGGUAAUUCCUAUGAAGUCACCUUCAGAUGAGAUCACAAGCCCUUAAAAGGGUGCCCAGUAGUGAGAAAGUAGUCCAGCUUGCCAAAGGAAGCUAUGGCUCCAAAAUGCUUUGGUUCCUUUUAAUAAGAAAUGGUAUUUCGAUACUUUAAUCUAGGCACAUGUAAUAUUCAUUACUAGAGGUUCUAGACCCUUUUAGGGAACUGGGUUAGAAAAUAUACAUUUUGGCUUUUUGUGAAAAAGAAAAAUACGCCAUGAGUUAUACUCAUAAAUUCAAUUUUUAAAAAUCAGGUACUUUUUGACUUUAUAUUUGUGUCUUUUUAUCUAGGUUCCUCACACUCAAUGUAAUUAUUUAUUUCCUUAAACUACUAUGAGGGUUAAUUUUAUGUGUCAACUUGUUUGGGCCAUGGUGCCUAGAUAUUUGGUCAAACGUUAUUCUGGAUGUUUCUGUGAGGGUGUUUUUGGGUAAGAGUAACCUUUAAAUUGUUGAGCUUUGAGUAAAGCAGAUUGCCCUUCAUUGUGUAGGUGGGCCUAGUCCCAUCUGGUUGACCAUCCUUAAUAGAACAAAGAUUGACCCCCCCUGAGCAAAAAGGAAGUCUGCCAGCAGAUGGCCUUUUAACUUGAAGGGCAAGAUUGUCUCUUCUUUGGCUCUCCAGGCUUCCAGUCUACCCUACAGAUUUUGGACUUGUCAGUCUCAAUAAUUGCAUGAACUAAUUCCUUAAAAUAAUAUUUCUUUAUAUACACACAUCCUAUUUGUUCUGUUUUUCUGGAACUUAAGAAAGACUAACCUGGUUUGCCUUCCUAUGUGAAACACCAGAGUAAAUAAAUGAAGCAAUAGUCCUGACGUCAUUGGACAUCAGGCCGUGAAGGUCAGUGAUCCCUGGGAGACAGGAAACAAAUGAAGUAAUGACUGUCCCAGCUAGCUGUCUGGAGAGAAUUUAUAGGCCAUAGCAUAGGAAGGAGGAACCAGGAAAGUUGAGGAUAUGGACCUGAGAGUUUGGGAAAGCCAAAGUAGCUGGAAUUCAUAGGGCAGCAUACUAUGUAGGAGAGAGCUGCACAAAGAAAACGAAAUCUGCAGAGGUACUCCUUUGAGUAUUCAGGUGAGCAUCAUUAGUACACCUGUGAACAGAGAGGCCACUUGAGGCUGAGGAAAGAACCAUCUGAAAGAACAGAAAGAACAGUACCUGGAAUGGAAAUCCUCGUUAUUCACAGGGUAUUGAGUAAAGUACUAAGAAAGGUCUUGCUUAGAUUGAGUUCUUCUGCAGCCUAACAAAGCUUAAAAACAAGGCCAGAAAAGGUCAAACUGUUCCAUGUAAUUUAAUGUCUGUUAUUUUUAUUGCUUCAUAACAAAACAUGUAUUUUCUUAGUUUCUGAGGAUUUGGAAUUCAGAGAGUGGCUUAGCUAGAUGAUUCUGGCUUAGGUUUUCUCAUCAGGUUGUAAUCAAUCUAUCAUCCAAGGUGGAAGUCAUCUGAAGGCUUGACUAGGGCUGGAGAAUCUGAUGUUAAACUCACUCAUAUGGCCACUGGCAAGAGGCCUCAAUUCUUUUGCUGUGUGGACCUCUCUAUAGGAAUGCUUAUAACAUGGAAGCUAGCUUUCCUCAGCAUGAGUGAUCCAAGUGAGAGAGAGCAAGCAAGAUGGAAGCCACAGUGUCUUCUGUAAGCUAUUCUCAGGAGUGACACAGCAAUACUUACACUAUAUUGGUCAAUUAUUGUGGAAUAAUACAGGAGAGGACUGCUCAAGGGAGGCAGAUCAUUGGGGGUCAUCUUACAGCCUGGCUGCCAUGAAUAUAGGUAUAAAACUGAACAAUAUUUUAGCAAAUCAAAUCCAAUACAUAAAACAGAUAAUGUAUUAUAACAAAAUGGAGUAUAUCCUGGGAAUGCAUGAUUGGUUUAAUAUUUGCAAGUUACUCAGUGUAAAUGACAAAUUAAAAUGCAUUUCACAAAAUUCAACAUCCUUUCCUGAUGAAAUGUCUUACUGCACUAGGGAUAUAAGGGGUAAAUAUGAAAAAUCUAUGUAGAAUCUAUAAUUUAAUAUCACAACAGUGAAAGAUUGUGUGCUUUCUCCCUAAAAAUCAGGGACAAGGCAGUAUGUUCAUCGUUGCCACUUCAAUGUUGUGUGGAAGUUUUAGCCAGUGUAGUAAGGCAAGAGAGAUAUAUAGAAGGCAUCCAGAUUGGAAAGGAAAAAGUAAACCUGCCUUUCUUUGCAGAUGGGGUGAUCAUCUACCUAGAAUAUCCUUUAGGAUCUAUAUGAAAGUUAUUAGAAUUAAUAAGUUGGUUUAGCAAGGUUGUAGGAUACAAGAUCAAUAUAUAAAAAUUAAUAGUAUUUCUGUUUCCCAGCAACAGACAUUGAAAUUUAAGAUGUUAGUUUCCCCAACUUGAUCUGUAGAUUCAACGUGAUCCCAGUCAACAUCUCAGCUAGCUAUUUAGUAGAUAUUGACAAACGGAUUCUAAAGUUCAUGUGAAAAGACAAAAGGCCUAGAAUAGCCAACUUUAUCCUCAAGUGUGGACUGUGCAUAGUGACUUUCUUCCAAAGAGUACAGUAUG